rnacentral:lncRNA from 1 species
CGCCAUCAACUCCUUCUCCUCCAGCAGAAGUUUUGACUCCCCCAGCAAUUUCUUCACCACCAACAUCCACGGCUCCUCCUUCUACCGAAAGCCCACCGAUUCCUGCAUCUCCAACUCCGUCUGUAGCGGCAUCUCCAACUCCUUCUGUAGCGGCAUCUCCACCUUCACAGUCUCCUAAUGCGAGUGUGCCUUCAACCCCGAGUCUGCCGGUUCCGGUUACUCCUAGUCCACCAGAUUCAACAACCAGCCCACCCCCGCCGAGUCUAAAUACGAA